rnacentral:rRNA from 1 species
GCAAGUCGAACGAAGUAGCAAUACUUAGUGGCAGACGGGUGAGUAACAUGUGGGUAUCUUCCCUAUGGUGAGGAAUAACACGAGGAAACUUGUGCUAAUACCUCAUAAGUCUUUACGGAGAAAGCUUUAUGCGCCAUUGGAUGAGCCCGCACUUGAUUAGUUUGUUGGUAGGGUAACGGCCUACCAAGACUGUGAUCAAUAGCUGAUUUGAGAGGAUGAUCAGCCACAUUGGGACUGAGACACGGCCCAAACUCCUACGGGAGGCAGCAGUAAGGAAUCUUGCACAAUGGAGGAAACUCUGAUGCAGCGAUGCCGCGUGAGUGAAGAAGGCCUUUGGGUUGUAAAGCUCUUUCGUCGGGGAAGAAAAUGACUGUACCCGAAUAAGAAGGUCCGGCCAACUUCGUGCCAGCAGCCGCGGUAAUACGAAGGGACCUAGCGUAGUUCGGAAUUACUGGGCUUAAAGAGUUCGUGGGUGGUUAAAAAAGUUGGUGGUGAAAUCCCAGAGCUUAACUCUGGAACUGCCAUCAAAACUUGUUAGCUAGAGUAUGAUAGAGGAAAGCAGAAUUUCUAGUGUAGAGGUGAAAUUCGUAGAUAUUAGAAAGAAUACCAAUUGCGAAGGCAGCUUUCUGGAUCAUUACUGACACUGAGGAACGAAAGCAUGGGUAGCGAAGAGGAUUAGAUACCCUCGUAGUCCAUGCCGUAAACGAUGUGUGCUAGACGUUGGAAAUUUAUUUUCAGUGUCGCAGCGAAAGCGAUAAACACACCGCCUGGGGAGUACGAC